CGUCAUGUCAAAGGACAACUUGUAGGAGUCAGCACCCUGACCCCAGUCAUCCCGGGAACCAGACUCAGCUCAUCAGACUUCUCCACAGGCACCAUAGCCACUGAGACAUCUCUAGGGCUUACUCUUUGAAUGGCAUCCAGGCAUGAUGGUGUACACCUUUAAUCCCAGUACUGGGGAGAGAGAGGCAGGGGGAUCUGAGUUUUGGGCCACAAAGCAAGUUUCCGGACAACCAAUACAAAACAGUAUACUAUCAAAAGACUCUAUUAUAUUUAUUGUAUAUUUUGUGCUAUAUACCAUUUGGAUCAGAAAGUACAGAUUGUGACCAUAUAACUAGAAUCCAAAUUUUAUAUGUAUUUAAAGUAUGUAAAUAUGUUAUACCUAUAUUAAUGUAAGUAAACAUUUAACUUUUUAAAGAA